GCAAUAUCGAGUCUUCGUUCUUGCAUUCUUGGUCUUCUUUCUUGCCCUCUUUUGACUCUUUUUUAUCUUGAUCUUGAAUAUUCCUUCUUUAAGCUCUCUUCUUAUGAGUUCUUCUCGUCAUCUUGAGUCUUCUUCAUUCAUACAGUUUUCGAGUCAAUUAAAUUUUUAGUACAUUUUAAAUUUUUUUACUAUCGUGACUAUCAUAAAUGUCACUUGUCCAGUCUUCUUUCUCCAUGCGAUUUUGGGUCUCGCUUCUUCAUGUGUUCUCGAGUCAUCAUUCUUUAAGUCCUUUGUAGUUUUCUUUCUUCAUGCCUUCUUGAAUAUUCUUUCUUCGUGCCCUCUUCAAUUUUCUUUCUUCGUGCCCUCUUCAAUCUUCUUUCAUCACGCCCUCUUCAGUUUUCUUACGCUGUCCGUUCUUUUUUACUAUAGUUUUGCUUAAGAUGUUAAUAAUAAUUGAAAUGCGCACUGUCCGAUGUUCCUUCUUCAUAUUAUUGUCUUCUACCUCCACGACGAAGGUUUUUCUUUUCGUUAUUUUCAUACUUCGCGAAUUAUUUUCCUUUAUAUGUCUUUAUUUUCCUUGCUUUUACGAGAACUUGAAAGCUUAAGUGACCUGUUUUUAAUUUCUUGUGUAUUGAACUCGUUAUGGAUCAUACAAAUUUGUUGCUAUAGUUCGAUUGCUUGCAAUUUUAUUUACAUAUAUUUUUUCAAUAUGUUUAAUCUUGCUCAUUUUGAUACCCUUAGCUUGAGAUCUGAAACAAGCUUUAUUAAGGAACUUACCAAUACCUCCGUGUGUCCGAAUUUUGCCAAUAACAUUAGUUAAUAUCAACGAUUUGUAGAGUCGAUAGACAACGUCGCUUAUUAUACCAAAGAUGUAGUGUAUCUUGUUUUCAUCAAUAGAUGUUUAUAUCUCUUUAAUCAAUUUAUGGUUUAGUAUUUCAAGUCUACCAGAAAUUCAUUCUAUGUCAAGAAUUCACUUGUGUCCUUGUUUUCAUGUCUGUUAAUAACGUCUGUAAAUAAACCCUCAUUAAUUCAUACUUACUUACUCUAACUUCGGAUGGCUAUAUUGCUUCUUUAAUUUUCAAAUUUGUAGUUAUUUUCUUUCGCUUAGUACUUAGUCUCACAUUAACAGCUGUUGGAAAUUCCUCGCUGGUCCGGUCACAAUGUCAACUUUGUUUAUAAUUCUUUAAAAUUUCAUACCGUUUGACAUUCCAUGGGAGUCUGAAAUCAUUGAGUAAGGCGAACCGGUGUUCCAUCUAAAAAUCAUGAAUUUUACAUACCUAAUCCACGUUUUAAGAACCAACCUCGCAUCUUCAUACUUGGCUAUGGAUAGACACUAUUUUUUUAUGGUGUAAUUUAAUUCAGUAUACCUUCAUUAUUUCCGAGUUCAGUUCCAAUGGUGUGGUAGUUUGAAGUAGUCUCUAGGAGAACAGUAAAGUUGUUCGACGUAUCUUGAAGCUAAUAAGCUUACAUACCAAACGUGUUCGAGUUGAUGACUAUGUUCUCUGUCUCAGUUUCCUCGUUCUGUCUUGUGCCAUUUAUGUUUCACUUUUUCUUCGAGUAGGUCUAAGAAUCGAUGUUAGAUCUUGAAUCAUCUUACGUACCCAACUUUUUCUAGCUUGUGUACCACGUACCUACUUAUUUUGGACCACGUUCUAAUCUCGUACUGUUCUGGUUAAACAAAAUUUUGAGAAUUCAUACCUUCAUAGUGUUUAAUUCACAUCCAAUAUUGCUCUAUAGGCCAAUCUGAAAUUAUCGAGUAAGUAUGUACUCCCAAUUAAGUCAUCUGAAAAAAAACUAACGUACUUACGUACCCAAUGUCUCGUACUUUCAUUGUCUUGGCUCAACCGAUAGGUAUUCUUUAUAUAAACCUGUAUUGGAAAUAUGUUUCAUCUAGGCUCGAGUCGGUUACGUACCAAGUGUAAAUGUGUUGAUAUUAUGUAUUCAAGUAGUAAUUGCGAUUUUCCCAUCUCAAUUGCUUCAGAUUCUUUUUUCCUUCUUCAGUCAUACUUUUAAAGCUCGUUUGAAUUUUCAUCUAAAAAUCUUGAAUUAGCUUACGUACCACAUUCCUAUGCUGCAUUUAAAUUCAUACCUUCGCAUUUGUUAUUCAUCAAUUAAUUUCUGGAAAAAGCAUUUCCAACUCCGAAUGGCAAGUUUCAUUUCCGAUCCAAUAAAAAAAAAUCGAAUUUGCUUACCCCCUGUAUCCGUUUGCAUCUAUCAUUCUAAUACGGCUAAGUGCACCACUCAAGUUAUCGUCGAAGGUAGUUUUAUUCCAUGCCGUUAAUG